rnacentral:rRNA from 1 species
CCUACGGGAGGCAGCAGUGGGGAAUAUUGCACAAUGGGGGAAACCCUGAUGCAGCGACGCCGCGUGAGUGAAGAAGUAUCUCGGUAUGUAAAGCUCUAUCAGCAGGGAAGAAAAUGACGGUACCUGACUAAGAAGCCCCGGCUAACUACGUGCCAGCAGCCGCGGUAAUACGUAGGGGGCAAGCGUUAUCCGGAAUUACUGGGUGUAAAGGGUGCGUAGGUGGUAUGGCAAGUCAGAAGUGAAAACCCAGGGCUUAACUCUGGGACUGCUUUUGAAACUGUCAGACUGGAGUGCAGGAGAGGUAAGCGGAAUUCCUAGUGUAGCGGUGAAAUGCGUAGAUAUUAGGAGGAACAUCAGUGGCGAAGGCGGCUUACUGGACUGAAACUGACACUGAGGCACGAAAGCGUGGGGAGCAAACAGGAUUAGAUACCCCAGUAGU